AAAUUGAAGAGUUUGAUCAUGGCUCAGAUUGAACGCUGGCGGCAGGCCUAACACAUGCAAGUCGAACGGUAACAGGAAGCAGCUUGCUGCUUCGCUGACGAGUGGCGGACGGGUGAGUAAUGUCUGGGAAACUGCCUGAUGGAGGGGGAUAACUACUGGAAACGGUGGCUAAUACCGCAUAACGUCGCAAGACCAAAGAGGGGGACCUUCGGGCCUCUUGCCAUCAGAUGUGCCCAGAUGGGAUUAGCUUGUUGGUGAGGUAACGGCUCACCAAGGCGACGAUCCCUAGCUGGUCUGAGAGGAUGACCAGCCACACUGGAACUGAGACACGGUCCAGACUCCUACGGGAGGCAGCAGUGGGGAAUAUUGCACAAUGGGCGCAAGCCUGAUGCAGCCAUGCCGCGUGUAUGAAGAAGGCCUUCGGGUUGUAAAGUACUUUCAGCGGGGAGGAAGGUGUUGUGGUUAAUAACCGCAGCAAUUGACGUUACCCGCAGAAGAAGCACCGGCUAACUCCGUGCCAGCAGCCGCGGUAAUACGGAGGGUGCAAGCGUUAAUCGGAAUUACUGGGCGUAAAGCGCACGCAGGCGGUCUGUCAAGUCGGAUGUGAAAUCCCCGGGCUCAACCUGGGAACUGCAUUCGAAACUGGCAGGCUUGAGUCUUGUAGAGGGGGGUAGAAUUCCAGGUGUAGCGGUGAAAUGCGUAGAGAUCUGGAGGAAUACCGGUGGCGAAGGCGGCCCCCUGGACAAAGACUGACGCUCAGGUGCGAAAGCGUGGGGAGCAAACAGGAUUAGAUACCCUGGUAGUCCACGCCGUAAACGAUGUCUACUUGGAGGUUGUGCCCUUGAGGCGUGGCUUCCGGAGCUAACGCGUUAAGUAGACCGCCUGGGGAGUACGGCCGCAAGGUUAAAACUCAAAUGAAUUGACGGGGGCCCGCACAAGCGGUGGAGCAUGUGGUUUAAUUCGAUGCAACGCGAAGAACCUUACCUGGUCUUGACAUCCACAGAACUUUCCAGAGAUGGAUUGGUGCCUUCGGGAACUGUGAGACAGGUGCUGCAUGGCUGUCGUCAGCUCGUGUUGUGAAAUGUUGGGUUAAGUCCCGCAACGAGCGCAACCCUUAUCCUUUGUUGCCAGCGGUCCGGCCGGGAACUCAAAGGAGACUGCCAGUGAUAAACUGGAGGAAGGUGGGGAUGACGUCAAGUCAUCAUGGCCCUUACGACCAGGGCUACACACGUGCUACAAUGGCGCAUACAAAGAGAAGCGACCUCGCGAGAGCAAGCGGACCUCAUAAAGUGCGUCGUAGUCCGGAUUGGAGUCUGCAACUCGACUCCAUGAAGUCGGAAUCGCUAGUAAUCGUGGAUCAGAAUGCCACGGUGAAUACGUUCCCGGGCCUUGUACACACCGCCCGUCACACCAUGGGAGUGGGUUGCAAAAGAAGUAGGUAGCUUAACCUUCGGGAGGGCGCUUACCACUUUGUGAUUCAUGACUGGGGUGAAGUCGUAACAAGGUAACCGUAGGGGAACCUGCGGUUGGAUCACCUCCUUA
rnacentral:rRNA from 9 species